rnacentral:rRNA from 1 species
ACCUGCCCAUUGGAAUCUAAAAGGCCGCGGUAUUAUGACCGUGCUAAGGUAGCAUAAUCAUUAGUCUUUUAAUUGGAGGCUGGUAUGAAUGGUUGGACAAGAAAUAAGCUGUCUUAAAUAAAAAUAUUGAAUUUAACUUUUAAGUGAAAAGGCUUAAAUUUUCUAAGGGGACGAUAAGACCCUAUAAAACUUUAUAUUUUAAAAUAAUAAUUAAUUUUUAUUUAGAAGAUUUAUUUUUAAAUAUUUUAUUGGGGUGAUAAAGAUAAAAUGUGAGAUAACUGUCUUUUUUUUUUUACAAUUAAUAUUUGAGUAAAAGAUCUUAACAAAGGAAAUAAGAGAUUAAGUUACUUUAGGGAUAACAGCGUAAUUUUCUUUAAGAGUUCUUAUCGACAAGAAAGUUUGCGACCUCGAUGUUGAAUUAAAAGUUCUUUAUAGAGUAGAUAUUAUAAUAGAGGGUCUGUUCGACCCUUAAAAUUUUACGUG